GAUCAUCAGCGGCGCCAGUUUGAAUCCUUUGAACAAAGGCGAAGACAGAAAAUUGCUGAAAGGAGGGCACAUCUAUGUCAAAUUGUUGAGGCUUUGCAAUACAGUUUCAGUACCCUGAUGGCACCAGGAAAACAAGGAAAUUUGUUGAGUCUCAACCAAUUCAGGAUCUGUUUGCCUUUGCUGGUUCAGACGACAUGGCCAGUGAAGUAUUCCGUGUACAGCUGUCCUGGUCACCGAACACUUUACUUAGUACUGUUGAUGGUAGCCUCUCAGAUCAUGAAAUUAGUAGGCCCUCAACCUUAUAUGUGCUUUGGAUGUCAGGUGUUCAAAUAGAGGAAUUAAUUGCAUCCAGUGUUGAAUCUUCAACUGACCAACUGGCUGCUACUCAGGACUUAGGAAGCAUCCCAAGUCCCCUCCAUUCCAGUGAUCAGGAUGUUGGCUUCUCCCCCUGCCCUGUUCCAGCUUUCUCACCACCAAUUGACAAUUCUUCACCCUCG